GAGUUUGAUCAUGGCUCAGAUUGAACGCUGGCGGCAUGCCUAACACAUGCAAGUCGAACGGCAGCGCGGGGAGCUUGCUCCCUGGCGGCGAGUGGCGGACGGGUGAGGAAUGCAUCGGAAUCUGCCCAGUCGUGGGGGAUAACCCGGGGAAACCCGACUAAUACCGCAUACGACCUUCGGGUGAAAGCGGGGGACCCUUCGGGGCCGUCGCGCGAUUGGAUGAGCCGAUGCCGGAUUAGCUAGUUGGCGGGGUAAUGGCCCACCAAGGCGACGAUCCGUAGCUGGUCUGAGAGGAUGAUCAGCCACACUGGGACUGAGACACGGCCCAGACUCCUACGGGAGGCAGCAGUGGGGAAUAUUGGACAAUGGGGGCAACCCUGAUCCAGCAAUGCCGCGUGUGUGAAGAAGGCCUUCGGUUGUAAG
rnacentral:rRNA from 1 species